GUCUCUUUGGUUAAAUGACCUGCUCAGUCAUAGUUCUCUAGGACUUAAACAUGAUAAUGGGCUCCAAGUCUAGUAACCCUAGAGCUGAAUGAAAGCUUCCUAAAUUUGAAUUCUUCUUUUUUUUUUUAAAUUGCUGUCAGAACUCUGAACUUUGGUUAAAAAAAACAAAAAACCCAACUUAAAGCUGCUUCUUCUUUCCUCCAGACCCUCUCCUGCAUUGAUAUAACUUUCUUCUUGCUGAACAAAGCUGUAGGCUAAUAUUUUCAAAAAUGGUGUGUUAGAGCCUCAGAAGAAGUAGCAGCCUCCACUGUGUAUGUCUGGUGGCCCUGGGUGUCCAGAGGAUGGGGUGGCUCCACUUCAGACUAGUGCGAGUCCCCAGCAUGACAGUCCCCUUCCUCCUGCCCAGGCAGAGCCUCAGAGCAGAGGAACACCAAAUCAAAAUGCUGAAUGACUUUAUCUCCAGCGCAUUCGUGAGCUUGAGGAGGAACUGAAAUGUUCUCAGUUGUGGACCAGACAGCUGUCCUGCUGCGUGAAUGAGCUGGAGUGCCUCACAUGCCCAGAGGUGGAGUGGCGUAAUUCUGUCCAUUCCAGCCUGGGUGAGAAGCUGCAGUUGCACCUGGAGUGCUCACUACUGGAGAAGCAGGAGUUGGAGUGCAGAGCUCUGAGGGCUGAGGAGAACAUCCAGGACCUCAAAUGGGAGAUUGCUGUUCUGCAGAAGUGCCUGCAGGCUGAGUGUCCCUCUCCAACCACCCUAGCUCUAUUGGCUACUGCUCCUCAGUCUCUUCCACCCUCCCUUUCCCCUCCCCUGUGACUUUCUUCCAUCAGGUAAGACGUGUGGCAACUCUCCCAUCAUUAUGAAGGGAUGGGUAUGGAUGGGCAACUCUACAACAAACUCAAGCCCUAGAGAUAAACCAGGUUGUGGGGCUGGGAUGACUAAAGAGGU